rnacentral:sRNA from 1 species
UCUCUCUAUUCCAACUCCAAAAUCUAACCAUUUGUUUCCCGAAUUGAAGCUACCUAGACCUUCAGGACUCCAAGAGCUACGUUUCUACCAAUUGAUUUUCCGUUUUCUCCAACCGGUGAUUCUAACAUUUUGGGAGUGCAAGCAAGUGGUCUAGGGUUCCUACUUGAGCUUGAUUGUUUACACUAGAGUAGGUGAUGAUGUACCAUUGGAGCAAGCUUUGGAGGUUGAAGAAGACUCAGCCCCUAGUACUUAGGCCUUCUACUAGCUCUUAGUUGAUUAGCUUGUUAUUUUGAAAAACUCCUAGCUUUUAUUUUAUAUAGUUCGACAAUUUUGGAAAACUUUUUAGGUCUCUUUAAAAUUUCAAUAGCCUUGUAUUUUGGAGAACUUUGGAAACUUGUACUCAAUUUUGAUUUCGUUUUAAUUCCCUCUAUCUUUUGG